AUACAGAGGGUGCAAGCGUUAAUCGGAAUUACUGGGCGUAAAGCGUGCGCAGGCGGUUUUGUAAGUCAGAUGUGAAAUCCCCGGGCUUAACCUGGGAACUGCGUUUGAAACUGCAAGGCUAGAGUGUGGCAGAGGGGGGUGGAAUUCCGCGUGUAGCAGUGAAAUGCGUAGAGAUGUGGAGGAACACCAAUGGCGAAGGCAGCCCCCUGGGUCAACACUGACGCUCAGGCACGAAAGCAUGGGGAGCAAACAGGAUUAGAAACCCCAGUAGUCC
rnacentral:rRNA from 1 species